rnacentral:rRNA from 1 species
UACGGAGGGUGCAAACGUUGCUCGGAAUUAUUGGGCGUAAAGCGCACGUAGGCGGUUCGCUAUGUCGGAUGUGAAAGCCCCGAGCUUAACUUGGGAAUUGCGCUUGUGACUGGCGAGCUGGAGUGUGGCAGAGGGAGGUGGAAUUCCACGUGUAGCAGUGAAAUGCGUAGAGAUGUGGAGGAACACCGAUGGCGAAGGCAGCCUCCUGGGCCAGCACUGACGCUCAUGCACGAAAGCGUGGGGAGCAAACAGG